AGACAGAGAAAGAAACUUUCUGUAACAAGGUGACAGCACUCGAGGCAGGCAGCUGUCCAGUCUGCGGACCGUCUCCAGAGAGAGAAAGGGAGGACAGGAAAUAGAGAGGAAAGACACACAGAGCGCGCGCGAGAGAGAGAAAGGAGGAAAACGGAGUACCCAGAGGAAACCCCUGAAGCACGGGGAGAGCAUGCAAACUCCACACACACAGGGUGAAGGCGGAAAUCGAACCCCCAACCCUGGACGUGCGAGGCAAACGUGUUAAUCACGAAGCCACUGCAUUUCAGAAGAUCCAGUGUUGCUUCUGGAGAAGCUCGAGAUGUCACACAUGGCAUGUGAUGUAGAACAUUCACUGUAUGGUCAUGUGUGCCUGGAUGAUGUCCAUAGACAACCACUCCCAUUUGAGGAAACCUAAAACCUAAACAAUACUAGUCUGCCAUCACUUUAUUGGUUUGACCCGGACUGGGUCGUAACAUCAGAGUCUCUCAGGCAGAACAGACACAACAUGCCAAAGCAGCCAUUUACCUAACAGAAAAAUGACUUUCAAAAGCCACCACUGCGCCCUGGCUCUCCUUUAAAGCCACAUUUGACAAGGAUCUCAUUUGAUGCUCAAUAUUGCCGUCAUCAAACAGUCAGCCAUCUCAGCCAACCUGUUCAUCAUAGCAGCAUCACUUUUGCACUGCAGUUCGAUUACGGCCCUUGAGGACAUUUUGCUCCUAUAGAUACUACACAGGAAGUGCGAAGAAUGGAGAUCUUUGGAGCUUCUUUUUCUGUUGAUUAAAAUGAGAAUUUAUGCAAGGAUUUGUGUAUAAACUUUAAUGCACAUAGGACACAUGUCUGUUCAUUACUGAGAGUCUCACAAUAAAAUGUACUAUAUUAACAGUUCAGUGCAACAAUGAUAAAGUUGUAUGAAAA
ensembl:lncRNA